AGACAGAUGUAGGCGACACGUAGGCAAAUCCGCGUGUCAUAUACCGAGGCUGUUGAUCGAGCGAGCUUGCUCGCGAAGUAACUGAACGAGGUCCCAGGAAAAGCCACUAAGCUUCAGCUUGUAAUUGACCGUACCGCAAACCGACACUGGUGCGCGAGAUGAGUAUUCUAAGGCGCUUGAGAGAACUCAGGAGAAGGAACUCGGCAAAACUGGCCCCGUAACUUCGGGAGAAGGGGUACCUACGCAAGUAGGUCACAGUGAAGAGUCCCAGGCGACUGUUUACCAAAAACNCAGGUCUCCGCAAAGUCGUAAGACGACGUAUG
rnacentral:rRNA from 1 species